rnacentral:rRNA from 1 species
CCUACGGGUGGCAGCAGUGGGGAAUAUUGCACAAUGGGGGAAACCCUGAUGCAGCCACGCCGCGUGAGGGAAGAAGUAUUUCGGUAUGUAAAGCUCUAUCAGCAGGGAAGAUAAUGACGGUACCUGACUAAGAAGCUACGGCUAACUACGUGACAGCAGCCGCGGUACUACGUAGGGGGCAGGCGUUAUCCGGAUUGACUGGGUGUAAUGGGAGCGUAGGUGGCAGGGCAAGUCAGAUGUGAAAACCCGGGGCUCAACCACGGGAGUGCAUUUGAAACUGUCCAGCUGGAGUGCAGGGGAGGUAAGCGGAAUUCCUGGUGUAGCGGUGAAAUGCAUAGAUAUUAGGAAGAACACCAGUGGCGAAGGCAGCUUACUGGACUGUAACUGACGCUGAGGCUCGAAGGCGUGGGGAGCAAACAGGAUUAGAUACCCUAGUAGUC